GGACGAACGCUGGCGGCGUGCUUAACACAUGCAAGUCGAACGAAAAUACCAAGCUUGCUUGGUUGAUUAGUGGCGAACGGGUGAGUAACACGUGAGUAACCUGCCCCUUACUUUCCUGGAUAACUGCUCGAAAGGGUAGCUAAUACGGGAUAUUCUGACCAGCCUGCAUGGGUUGGUUUGGAAAGGUUGUUUUUCUGGUAAGGGAUGGGCUCGCGGCCUAUCAGCUUGUUGGUGGGGUGAUGGCCUACCAAGGCUUUGACGGGUAGCCGGCCUGAGAGGGUGGACGGUCACACUGGGACUGAGAUACGGCCCAGACUCCUACGGGAGGCAGCAGUGGGGAAUAUUGCACAAUGGGCGCAAGCCUGAUGCAGCGACGCCGCGUGAGGGAUGAAGGCCUUCGGGUUGUAAACCUCUUUCGUCAGGGAACAAGGCACUGCUUUUUUGGUGGUGUUGAGGGUACCUGGAUAAGAAGCGCCGGCUAACUACGUG
rnacentral:rRNA from 1 species